UAAACCCUGCUGUGUGCGUGAUGGGUUUCUAGCGUUGAGCCAACGCCACAUGAAUGGGAUUUGAGAUGCGUAGAGGGGAUGCAGUAGCCGAUAAGGCCAGGCAGUAUCCUUGCGAUAGGAAUCCCACCUGCGUAAGCAGGUUCAAAUGACUGAUCUCACACGGCAUGGCGGGGCUUCG
rnacentral:other from 1 species